rnacentral:rRNA from 1 species
GAUGAACGCUGGCGGCGUGCUUAACACAUGCAAGUCGAACGAAGCACUUUGGACAGAUUCUUCGGAUGAAGUCCUUAGUGACUGAGUGGCGGACGGGUGAGUAACGCGUGGGUAACCUGCCUCAUACAGGGGGAUAACAGUUAGAAAUGGCUGCUAAUACCGCAUAAGCGCACGGCAUCGCAUGAUGCAGUGUGAAAAACUCCGGUGGUAUGAGAUGGACCCGCGUUGGAUUAGCUAGUUGGCAGGGUAACGGCCUACCAAGGCGACGAUCCAUAGCCGGCCUGAGAGGGUGAACGGCCACAUUGGGACUGAGACACGGCCCAGACUCCUACGGGAGGCAGCAGUGGGGAAUAUUGCACAAUGGGGGAAACCCUGAUGCAGCGACGCCGCGUGAGCGAAGAAGUAUUUCGGUAUGUAAAGCUCUAUCAGCAGGGAAGAAAAUGACGGUACCUGACUAAGAAGCC